UUCCUAACCAGAAACUGAAGCAAGGGUUGCUAAUAAAUGAAUUUUGGAAAAAAUGAUAUUAUUUGUCUGGCCUUUCUCACGUAUAAGAGUGGCCUCCCUUGAAGCCAGGUGCUCGUUGCCAGGCAAUAUUAUAGGUGGCGCCGCUGUCAACAUGUGCAUGUGAAAACGAAAGUAGAUUGUUUAUCUAGGAAUUAUUACAACAUUUUACCCUUCUACGUUGAAUUUUUAAGAUAUAAAAGUAUGAAUAUUGAGAUGAUUAUUUAGUUACCUUCAACUGGUCAGUGGCCAAAAGGGAGUAUUUCUGUGUGUCUGGAAGCAUUGAAUGCCCCAAAACAACCAGUAUGACAAGAAGGUAAUUUAGAACUCUUUUCCAUGCCUUUCACAAAAUUACAAAACCUGAGGAAUUGAAUUACCUAAGGAAGAUCUGAUAAAUAAAACUUCAAAACACUAAUUAUGCCCUGAUUUACACACAGAUUGUUCCUUGCAUUUUUAUUUUUAUAAAGAUGAGAAGAUAGAUCAUGUAUAUAUUUGUUUCUGCACAGGAUUCAGAAUCAAUUUUCUAUCAACUAUGACAAAAGCAGACAGAUUUCAAUAUAUGUCAUAACAAAAUUCAAUACUUCAGGAACUUCAUUUCAAAAGGAUAUAUUAAAAAUUUAUCAAGUUGCUUUAUAUUACAUUACAGACCAGAGUACACAGCUUCCCAAAAUGUUGAAAGACUAAGCUGUUUUUCUUUGGACUUGUAAGUAUUUUGAAUGUUUGAUUUCUCUUUCUUUUAACCUUAUGAUUGAAUAUUUCAUUUCAAUUAGUCAUGCCACUUUUUCUAGUAAUUUGCAUCUACAUUUCAACAUGUUUACACAUUUUGUUUACACAGAAAGAUAUUUUUUACUUCUUUCAUUCUAGGUAUACUAUCUAGGUUGAAAACAGCCACAGACAAUGAAUUUGGAGGUGCAUGCUGGAGCAUCAGAAAUUACAUACUUGGAAUAAAUAAUUGCACAAUACACAUUUACUGAGAAGUGACUAAUGUUUAUGUUAAAGUGCAAUAUCCAUAUUUGUAACAUUUACUUGGGGGUAAUAGUUACUGUGUUGAAAGAGACUACCAGUGUUACAUUUCAAUCUAAGUUACAGUGUGGAUGCUAAUUCUAAAUUCUUGAUAAUCAAGUGUUUUUAAUAACUUAUGAAUACUAAUUAUUUAUCAAACUGUUUAAUUUAUCACAUUCCUACAUCAUUAUUUUAUAUAAAA
rnacentral:lncRNA from 1 species